GAGGGGCUGGCAGAAGGGUAAUGCGUAGCUCUCCUAUUUGAUUGGCUCCCCAGUCGUAGGACUAGCUCAAGCUAAGAUUGUGGGUUCGAGUCCCACGUCCCUCG
rfam:Tncinocarpus reesii 1704 scaffold_3 genomic scaffold, whole genome shotgun sequence.